AACCAGUUGCAUAUUUUGAAAAACUUCCACAGAAUAAUCAUUUAGCAGUCAUAAUAUUACAAAAAUAAAGUAACAGAAUAAAUUGCAUGAUUAAAACAAAAUACCUUCUGCUGAAUCACUCUGACUAGGAACACAGCCACUAAGAAGGUUAGUGGACCAGCACUGCCAUGUUUUCAAUUAGUAAGCAUCACUACAGUCAGGCACAAGACCUAUUCCCAGGAGACCAUUCCAUUUUUUAUAGGAAGAUGUGCAAUGCAUAGAUGUCAUGUUAACAUCUUGUGUUUAGUUCCAAAAUACCAUUGUUCUUUUUCCUCUGGGAGAAAAGUUCAAUGGUAAAGUAGAACAGUGAUGGGACACAGCACAUGACUGGCCCACAUCUCUCCCACUAGUUCUAAAACACAACAAAGAGAAAGAUGUGGACUUCACUGUUCAAUACAACAGCCACUAGCCCUAUGUAGCUAUUUAAAACAAGAAUAAUUAAAAUUCAAUAAAAUCUACAUUUUACUUCCUCAGUCACACUUGACACAUUUUAAGUGUUUACUACUUGUUACCAUAUUGGACACUGCAGAUAUAGAACAUUUCUAUCAUCACAGAAAGUUCUUUUGGACAGCCCUGUAUGUGGGAAGUGUUUCUUCUCCCUUUGGUUAGCCAGGGUGUAGGCUGCUUGUGGAAGCAGCUUGGAGAGACAAUUCUUGUCCCAGAAUAUUCCUAGACUGGUGGUGGAGUCACAGAAGGAAGUAAGGUUGUCUUUCUUUGCAUAUGAAAGGGAUGGUCAUUUACAGGGAUCAAAUACACACUCUAGAUUCCACCCAAAUCUAACUGCCAGGAAAAUUAAGGAGGAGAUAAAUGGUGCAUGUGAGGAAGUGGCAAAGUAGAACAUUCUUUAUCCUACGCCCAACCUCCAUACAGGGAUCAUGUCUACCAAGAAAAUAUGUGGGUCUUCAGGCUCCUCCUCUAGAGAAUCCCAGCUCAAGGCAAGUAUGUUGGCAAAGAGGUCAGUGCUGACGAGUGUUUCAUGAGAAAAUCUGCCAUGUCUUCACUCUGCUCACUUGGAGCUGAGCAGUGUUGCUGGAGUUUUGCCAGUGAGAAAGCUAUCAUUUUGAUCUGUUUCAAAUAUUAUGCUCCCGUACAACUAUAUUUUAUAACCAGGGCAUAGACCACUAGUUGUCCACUGAAGAUCCACCAUUAUUGCUCUUACCAAGGAAACUCAGAUUUUGGUUGAAAGCUACAAAAAUUACAUUUCUUGAGCAAUCUUGCAGAUAGUAGUAGCCAGUUACACAGUUCUGGCCAAUACAAGCAAAAGUUGGGCUGCUGAGAAAUGCUUUAAAAGGAUGUGCAUUCAAAUUGCAAGGCUGUGCUUCCCUUUGGGGUGUUUGCCUUCUUGUUGUGGGGGACUGCAGGGAUAAUCUUGGAACCUAGAGGGGAAAGCCAAGGGUUAGAGCCUGAUAUCUGUGAACUACUGACCAAAUUCCAGCAGUUACCUAUCUCCAAUACUCAUCAAAUGUGAGUUACCUGAGAAAAGAACAAAACCUCUAAUUUGGUGAAGCCAAUGUUCAAUAACUUCCUACUCUCUUAUAAAACAAAGGUUAACUAUGAAGAUGUUUAACUUAAACCCAUCCGUGGCUUAGGGAUCUGUCUAUAAAGACCAAGCAGAAGUGAUCAGGUUCAUUAAGUAAAGUAGCUGCUAUUCAAGAAAAUAAGAGGAUUUUUAAAAAGCUUAAUCCAUCAGGAAGCAUUUCUGAGCUCCUAUUAUGUUCUGAUUACUUUCCAAACACAGGUGUCUGUCUGCCUUCUGAAUAUCCAAGUUCCUGUAUUCCUGUAUGGUAAUAUGCUCAGUACUCAAAAUCAGAUCAGCAUUGAACUAUUACUUUAUUUAUUUUGUGUAGACAAAAUAAGAAAUGAAGAAUUUAUUUCACUGAUUCAAACAAACAAAGAAGAAUCUAUAUCAAAGACCUGUAACUCAACUCUUAACUUGCCCUUGCAUGUGACACAGAUAUCUGACAAUGGCAUCUAAUGAUUUUAAUUGUGGAUUUAGUUUAAAUAAGCAUAAGUACCUCAGACUAGCUGCAAAAAUUAAAAACAAAAUGCAGAACUCUGCAGAUACUUUCUAUGUACUAUAUUAGUCUCUUUAGUAUUGUAAAAGUCCCUAGAUUAAUAAGUAUAACUUAGAAAAAAAAACAUUUCCAAGUAUCCUAAAUAGUUUAACCAUUUACAAUGCUUAAAUUUUUAAUCAUUUAAAAUUUAACUCUAAUGCACUUAUUUUGAAACUAUAAACAAAAUUGAGAACAUGGAAUGUCAAGUUAAAAAUAGAGUAUUGUGUAUUUUUUACUUACCUAGUUCCAAGUUUCCACCCCUGCAAGUGAACUAAAAACAAAUCCUGGCACCUUGUCAUUCCCAGAAAAACCCGUGCAUGCAUGGCACACUCUGGGUAAAUUUUAUCUUUCAUUCUGUAGAGUCACACCAGAUGGCAUCAGUCCUGCAUCUACAGCUGUGCCCUAAAAUUGAAGUUCAGGCACAGGAAUCUGCUUUAUUAAACACUUUGGAUUUUGCAAGUGUGCAUGUGUGAUGUCAUUCCCAUUCACCUCAAAAUGGUUAUCUUUUCAAGUGGAACUACAGAUCCAUUGCACUUACAAAUUUGGAAAUUAAUGAAACAAUCAAGAUUGUCCUAAGAAGAUCUGAAGUCAUUUUGAACAGCUGAAAUUUAGAAACAACAAUGAAAUAAGAAAAUCUAAAAUAAAAUAUUAAUACUGAAUUAUAGAAUCAUGGCUCAUUUCCUUUUAAUGUAAGAAAUUCAAUUCACCUUCUA
rnacentral:lncRNA from 1 species